AACGACUCUCGGCAACGGAUAUCUCGGCUCACGCAUCGAUGAAGAACGUAGCAAAAUGCGAUACUUGGUGUGAAUUGCAGAAUCCCGUGAACCAUCGAGUUUUUGAACGCAAGUUGCGCCCGAAGCCAUUCGGCCGAGGGCACGUCUGCCUGGGCGUCACACA
rnacentral:rRNA from 1 species